rnacentral:lncRNA from 1 species
CAUCGAGGUCCUGAUGAACAGCUAUGACCAUGUGCGCAUCUCCGCAGACUGGGUGGAGGCGGUUCCAGCGGAGGUUGUGCAGAAAUACCCACGUUUCUACCAGUCACUUUUCUCGCUGGAGCAAAGACCUCGCUCCUUGCAGCACCUGGCUCGCUGUGCACUCAGAACCUUCCUGGAGGGCCGUUUGCUUCCAGUCCUGUCCCAGCUGCACCUGCCAAGCACCUUGCACCGGUUCCUGCUGCUCAGCUUUGAGGAUGUUCUCUACUAAGGGCUGGGGUUUGAGUCCCACUGUCUCUCUGUGCAGAUGUUCCACCCCUACCAGCACAGCCUGUGCCUCUCCAGAUAACCCCUUCUCUCCUGCCAUACUGUGUCAGCCCGCCUCUGCCAAACCUGCUGCUGUCCCCGCCAGCCUUGUGCUCUGUCUCCUGCACCCAUUUUGGAGCAUUCUGUUCACCCAGCCUAAAGAAGACAAGCUCCGGACUCACUAAGAAAAGCAAGAGAUGAUGAUUAGGGCAUUUUGUGGGACCAGGAGCAAAUGUGCUGGAUUGAUCUCAGUUUUUCUCAGAUCUACAAAUUCUAACUGAACCAGGAGGCUCUGCUGCCCUGGGCAUUUGUUGGGAACUUGUCUUUUGUCAAGUAGUUUACAGUUUGUACACAAGGGAGUUUGGAAUAAACCCUAGUCUUUAUGCCUACCAGAGUACAACUUCUGCCUUGCCUUGAAGAUUGCCUGAUAGGGCUUCGCCAUGAGACUACCCCUGUGUAGCAGCAGGUGCACUCAGACCUAUGCAUUCACCUGCUCUUCAAAGGACCAGAAACAAAUGUGAUGGAUGUAGGACCGAGGCCUCCGAAACAAACACUUCCCAUGCAGUUGCAAUGUCUGAGGUUGUCCUGCUUAGGGCAGAACAGUGCUCGUGCUAGUACUGGGCACUUGGGUUUGGGGUGAGUAGGAUGUGCACUCUGAGAGCAGUAGUCCCCUGGGUACAGAGCAGAUGGCCCCUGUGACAGCCCAGCCAGCGUCUGCCAGAGCCUGAUGCAAGGCCACAUGCUGGUGCCUGGGCUGUGCUGCACUGUGAAC